UAGCGGGGUAGAGUAGAGGUUUACUCACCAGCCCCAUUAGCUGGGGACGUCGGUUCGAAUCCGGCCCCCGCUAU
rnacentral:tRNA from 1 species